rnacentral:rRNA from 1 species
UAGUGGCGAACGGGUGAGUAACACGUGGGCAAUCUGCCCUUCACUCUGGGACAAGCCCUGGAAACGGGGUCUAAUACCGGAUAACACUGCGGAUCGCAUGGUCUGCGGUUAAAAGCUCCGGCGGUGAAGGAUGAGCCCGCGGCCUAUCAGCUUGUUGGUGAGGUAGUGGCUCACCAAGGCGACGACGGGUAGCCGGCCUGAGAGGGCGACCGGCCACACUGGGACUGAGACACGGCCCAGACUCCUACGGGAGGCAGCAGUGGGGAAUAUUGCACAAUGGGCGAAAGCCUGAUGCAGCGACGCCGCGUGAGGGAUGACGGCCUUCGGGUUGUAAACCUCUUUCAGCAGGGAAGAAGCGAAAGUGACGGUACCUGCAGAAGAAGCGCCGGCUAACUACGUGCCAGCAGCCGCGGUAAUACGUAGGGCGCAAGCGUUGUCCGGAAUUAUUGGGCGUAAAGAGCUCGUAGGCGGCUUGUCACGUCGAUUGUGAAAGCCCGAGGCUUAACCUCGGGUCUGCAGUCGAUACGGGCUAGCUAGAGUGUGGUAGGGGAGAUCGGAAU